rnacentral:rRNA from 1 species
CACGUAGGGCGCAAGCGUUGUCCGGAAUUAUUGGGCGUAAAGAGCUCGUAGGCGGACUGUUGCGUCCGCUGUGAAAAGCUGGGGCUUAACCCUGGCCUUGCAGUGGAUACGGGCAGACUAGAGGUAGGUAGGGGAGAAUGGAAUUCCCGGUGUAGCGGUGGAAUGCGUAGAUAUCAGGAGGAACACCGAUGGCGAAGGCAGGUCUCUGGGCCACUACUGACGCUGAGAAGCGAAAGCAUGGGGAGCGAACAGG